CGUGCCUAAUACAUGCAAGUCGAGCGAACAGAUAAGGAGCUUGCUCCUUUGACGUUAGCGGCGGACGGGUGAGUAACACGUGGGUAACCUACCUAUAAGACUGGGAUAACUUCGGGAAACCGGAGCUAAUACCGGAUAACAUUUGGAACCGCAUGGUUCUAAAGUGAAAGAUGGUUUUGCUAUCACUUAUAGAUGGACCCGCGCCGUAUUAGCUAGUUGGUAAGGUAACGGCUUACCAAGGCGACGAUACGUAGCCGACCUGAGAGGGUGAUCGGCCACACUGGAACUGAGACACGGUCCAGACUCCUACGGGAGGCAGCAGUAGGGAAUCUUCCGCAAUGGGCGAAAGCCUGACGGAGCAACGCCGCGUGAGUGAUGAAGGGUUUCGGCUCGUAAAACUCUGUUAUUAGGGAAGAACAAACGUGUAAGUAACUGUGCACGUCUUGACGGUACCUAAUCAGAAAGCCACGGCUAACUACGUGCCAGCAGCCGCGGUAAUACGUAGGUGGCAAGCGUUAUCCGGAAUUAUUGGGCGUAAAGCGCGCGUAGGCGGUUUCUUAAGUCUGAUGUGAAAGCCCACGGCUCAACCGUGGAGGGUCAUUGGAAACUGGGAAACUUGAGUGCAGAAGAGGAAAGUGGAAUUCCAUGUGUAGCGGUGAAAUGCGCAGAGAUAUGGAGGAACACCAGUGGCGAAGGCGACUUUC
rnacentral:rRNA from 1 species